CCAAACACUUUUUCGCUUUUUAAAUUUAUUUUUAGAAGUUUAUAAAAUUUCUGGCUUGAAAUUUAUACUAACUACAAAAUCUUUGAACCACUGAACAGUAAGGAUGCUGGUUCGAAUCGCAGGCUAGUCCCAUUAGGACCAUGUGAGUCACGCAAGAAGAAAGACGCUGGUUCGAAUCGCAGGCUAGUCGUAUAAGGUCGCUGUGAACCACUUAAGAAGAAGGUUCGAAUCGCAAUUUGCUGAAAACAGAAAACGCCUUUGGUAUAUGGAAAUGUUGACUUGAGAAACGCACACGGAUUUGAGAUUUACCGUUGCACGCAACCUGCUCGUCGCACCCGUCGAACUGAACUGAAAUAUUGGUUGCGCAGCGAGGACGUGUGAGGCCUUUGGGUCACCUGUCGCAAUGCCAGUUGCGAUCAAAAUUGGGUUUGAAUGCGAAGCCAAUGAAAGCCAGCACAAGCCAGGCCAAGCGAACACCCAGCUACCACCACCAAACACCCACCCACCCACUCGGCAGGCUGUGACAUGGGCAUCUGGUUGAGUUGAGGCGGUCUCGCUCGCACACAGCUGUGGAAUGCCCAAUAGCUGGCAUUGGAUUCGCUCGCAAUGCAUAGCAGGACAGUCCACCCCCGGCCCGCGCAGCUACACUUCACAUGUGGAUGGGCGCAUGCGCUGCCACGCCCACAAGCCUAGAGAGUAAAGCGGCUUGCUUUGGUUUGUUUUUCGUGCACUUUGAACGCCAGAGGGCGCUGUAAGCGCUGGGCAUCUGUUGCGCCGCAACGCUGAUUGGACAAAGCGCUAGCAUGGCACGCCCCCUGACGGCAAACGGAUUUGUCGCACAGCAUGAACGGAAUUUUAUUGAAUUGCAAAUGAAGAAUUUCAAUGCAAUGCAUUGGAGUUUCAAACAUCCGCGAGGACAUGGGGGGGGUGUGUGGUGGAAUGGUGUGGAGGGUGAGGAGGAAGGCGCAGAGGGUAUAGUCCCAACCGGAAACAGCCUUUUGUUGCGCGUUGUUAUUGUUGCUGCUGCCGCACACAUUUUCCUUCCUUUGCUCGUCAGCCUUGUGUAGACAUUUUAAGAAUCAAAGGAUUAUAUUUGUACUGUCCUUUUUUUGAA